GAGUUUGAUCCUGGCUCAGGAUGAACGCUGGCGGCAUGCCUAACACAUGCAAGUCGUAACGGACCUUUAUUUUUGAGAGUUCCUUUAUAGAAAUUCUCAAAAAUACUGGUUAGUGGCGGACGGGUGAGUAACACGUUGGUACCUACCCUCUAGUGGGGGAAUAACUUCGAGAAAUCGAGGCUAAUACCGCAUGUGGUCUACGGAUCAAAGCAGUAAUGCGCUAGAGGAGGGGCCUGCGUCUGAUUAGCUUGUUGGUGAGGUAAAAGCUCACCAAGGCGACGAUCAGUAGCUGGAUCGAGAGGUUGACCAGCCACACUGGGACUGAGAUACGGCCCAGACUCCUACGGGAGGCAGCAGUGAGGAAUCUUCCACAAUGGACGAAAGUCUGAUGGAGCAAUGCCGCGUGCAGGAUGACGGCCUUCGGGUUGUAAAUUGCUUUUAUAUGGGAAGAUUAUGACGGUACCAUAUGAAUAAGGACCGGCUAACUACGUG
rnacentral:rRNA from 1 species